rnacentral:rRNA from 1 species
GGUUUGAUUCUGGCUCAGAUUGAACGCUGGCGGGAUGCUUUACACAUGCAAGUCGAACGGCAGCACGGACUUCGGUCUGGUGGCGAGUGGCGAACAGGUGAGUAAUGUAUCGGAACGUGCCUAGUAGCGGGGGAUAUGCGCUACGCCGAAAGCGUAGCUGGCCACCACGCUCGCCCUUCGGGGGAAAGCGGGGACCUUCGGGCCUCGCACUAAUAAACAGCCGGUAUCGGAUUAGCUAGUUGGUGGGGCGCGGCUCACCAAAGGCGACGAUCCGUAGCUGGUUUGAGAGGACGACCAGCCACACUGGGACUGAGACACAGUAGCCCAGACUCCUACGGGAGGCAGCAGUGGGGAAUUUUGGACAAUGGAAACCUAGUCCAGCCAUCCCGCGUGCGAUGAAGGCCUUCGGGUUGUAAAAGCACUUUUGGCAGGAAAAAAGAAACGGCACGGGAUUAAUACCCGUGCAACUGACGGUACCUGCAGAAUAAGCACCGGCUAACUACGUGCCAGCAACCGCGGUAAUACGUAGGGUGCGGCGUUAAUCGGAAUUACUGGGCGUAAAGCGUGCGCAGGCGGUUCGGAAAGAAAGAUGUGAAAUCCCAGAGCUUAACUUUGGAACUGCAUUUUUAACUACCGAGCUAGAGUGUGUCAGGAAGUGGAAUUCCGCGAUGUAGCAGUGAAAUGCGUAGAUAUGCGGAGGGGAACACCGAUGGCGAAGGCAGCCUCCUGCAUUGCUGACGCUCAUGCACAGCAGUAGGGAGCAAGCAGGAUUAGAUACCUGGUGAUCCACGCCCUAAACGAUGUCAACUAGCUGUUGGGGCCUUCGGGCAACGGUAGCACCGGCUAACGCGUGAAGUUGACCGCCUGGGGAAGUACGGUCGCAAGAUUAAAACUCAAAGGAAUUGACGGGGACCCGCACAAGCGGUGGAUGAUGUGGAUUAAUUCGAUGCAGCACCCGAAAAACCUUACCUACCCUUGACAUGUCUGGAAUCCCGAAGAGAUUUGGGAGUGCUCGCAAGAGAACCGGAACACAGGUGCUGCACUUGGCUGUCGUCAGCUCGUGUCGUGAGAUGUUGGGUUAGAGUCCGCAACGAGCGCAACCCUUGUCGUAGUUGCUACGAAGAGGCACUCUAAUGAGACUGCCGGUGACAAACCGGAGGAAGGUGGGAUGACGUCAGUCCUCAUGGCCCUUAUGGGUAGGGCUUCACCUCAUGCAAUGUGGUCGGGACGGAAGAGGAUGCUUCCAACCCGCAGAGGAGACAAUGAUCCCAGAAACCCGAUCGUAGUCCGGAUCGCAGUCUGCAACUCGACUGCGUGAAGUCGGAAUCGCUAGUAAUCGCGGAUCCAACCAUGUCGGUGAAUACGUUCCCGGGUCUUGUACACCGCCCGUCACACCAUGGGAGUGGGUUUUACCAGAAGUAGUUAGCCUAACCGUAAGGAGGGCGAUUACCACACGGUAGGAUUCAUGACUGGGGUGAAGUCGUAACAAGGUAG